rnacentral:tRNA from 1 species
UGCGGAAAUAGCUCAAUGGUAGAGCACAACCUUGCCAAGGUUGGGGUCACGAGCUCGAGCCUUGUUUCCCACCC